rnacentral:rRNA from 1 species
CCUACGUGAGGCAGCAGUGGGGAAUAUUGGACAAUGGGGGGAACCCUGAUCCAGCGACGCCGCGUGAGUGAAGAAGUAUUUCGGUAUGUAAAGCUCUAUCAGCAGGGAAGAAAGAAAUGACGGUACCUGACUAAGAAGCCCCGGCUAACUACGUGCCAGCAGCCGCGGUAAUACGUAGGGGGCAAGCGUUAUCCGGAUUUACUGGGUGUAAAGGGAGCGUAGACGGCGAUGCAAGUCUGAAGUGAAAGGCAGGGGCCCAACCCCUGGACUGCUUUGGAAACUGGAGGGCUGGAGUGCAGGAGAGGUAAGUGGAAUUCCUAGUGUAGCGGUGAAAUGCGUAGAUAUUAGGAGGAACACCAGUGGCGAAGGCGGCUUACUGGACUGUAACUGACGUUGAGGCUCGAAAGCGUGGGGAGCAAACAGGAUUAGAUACCCCAGUAGUC